AACGAACGCUGGCGGCAUGCCUAACACAUGCAAGUCGAACGAAGGCUUCGGUCUUAGUGGCGCACGGGUGCGUAACGCGUGGGAAUCUGCCCUUUGGUUCGGAAUAACAGCUGGAAACGGCUGCUAAUACCGGAUGAUGACGAAAGUCCAAAGAUUUAUCGCCAGAGGAUGAGCCCGCGUUGGAUUAGGUAGUUGGUGGGGUAAAGGCCUACCAAGCCGACGAUCCAUAGCCGGUCUGAGAGGAUGAUCAGCCACACUGGGACUGAGACACGGCCCAGACUCCUACGGGAGGCAGCAGUGGGGAAUAUUGGACAAUGGGCGCAAGCCUGAUCCAGCAAUGCCGCGUGAGUGAUGAAGGCCCUAGGGUUGUAAAGCUCUUUUACCCGGGAAGAUAAUGACUGUACCGGGAGAAUAAGCCCCGGCUAACUCCGUG
rnacentral:rRNA from 1 species